CAGGCCUAACACAUGCAAGUCGAGCGGAUGGCAGGAGCUUGCUCCUUCAUUCACCGGCGGACGGGUGAGUAUUGCCUAUGAAUCUGACUGUUACUGGGGGACUACGUUUCGAGAGGAACGCUAAUACCUCCUACGUCCUACGGGAUAAAGUAUGGGACCUUCGGGCCUUCCGCUAUCAGAUGAUCCUAAGUCGUAUUAUCUAUUUGGUGGGGUAGUGUCUCACCAACGCGACUAUCCGUUACUGGUCUUAUAAGAUGAUCAGUCACACUGGAACUGAUACACAGUCCACACUCCUACUGGAGGCAGCAGUGGGGAAUAUUGGACAAUGGGCGACAGCCUGAUCCAGCCAUGCCGCGUGUGUGAAGAAGGUCUUCCGAUCCUUAAUCACUUUAUGUUGGGA
rnacentral:rRNA from 1 species